rnacentral:tRNA from 1 species
AUCCCCUUUUAGCUCAGUGGUCGAGAGCUGGCUUUGAAAGCCACAGGGCGGUGGUUCGAACCCACCAGGGCACA